rnacentral:rRNA from 1 species
UACGAAGGGGGCUAGCGUUGCUCGGAAUCACUGGGCGUAAAGCGCACGUAGGCGGAUUGUUAAGUCAGGGGUGAAAUCCUGGAGCUCAACUCCAGAACUGCCUUUGAUACUGGCGAUCUCGAGUCCGGGAGAGGUGAGUGGAACUGCGAGUGUAGAGGUGAAAUUCGUAGAGAUCGUAAGGAAGACCAGUGGCGAAGGCGGGUCUCUGGACAGUUCCUGACACUGAGGCACGAAGGCCAGGGGAGCAAACGGG